AAUAAGCGGAGGAAAAGAAACCAACUGGGAUUGCCCUAGUAACGGCGAGUGAAGCGGCAAUAGCUCAAAUUUGAAAUCUGGCUCCUUUUAGGGGUCCGAGUUGUAAUUUGCAGAGGGUGCUUUGGCGUUGGUAGCGGUCUAAGUUCCUUGGAACAGGACAUCGCAGAGGGUGAGAAUCCCGUUUGUGGUCGCAUGCCUUCGCCGUGUAAAGCCCCUUCGACGAGUCGAGUUGUUUGGGAAUGCAGCUCUAAAUGGGAGGUAAAUUUCUUCUAAAGCUAAAUACUGGCCAGAGACCGAUAGCGCACAAGUAGAGUGAUCGAAAGAUGAAAAGCACUUUGGAAAGAGAGUCAAACAGCACGUGAAAUUGUUGAAAGGGAAGCGCUUGCAGCCAGACUUGCCCGUAGUUGCUCACCUAGGCUUUUGCCUGGGGCAUUCUUCUGCGGGCAGGCCAGCAUCAGUUUGGGCGGUCGGAUAAAGGUCUCUGUCAUGUAGCUUCCUUCGGGAAGAACUUAUAGGGGAGACGAAAUGCGACCAGCCUGGACUGAGGUCCGCGCAUCUGCUAGGAUGCUGGCGUAAUGGCUGUAAGCGGCCCGUCUUGAAACACGGACCAAGGAGUCUAACAUCUAUGCGAGUGUUUGGGUGUCAAGCCCGAACGCGUAAUGAAAGUGAACGGAGGUGGGAACCCUUUGGGUGCACCAUCGACCGAUCCUGAUGUCUUCGGAUGGAUUUGAGUAAGAGCAUAGCUGUUGGGACCCGAAAGAUGGUGAACUAUGCUUGAAUAGGGUGAAGCCAGAGGAAACUCUGGUGGAGGCUCGCAGCGGUUCUGACGUGCAAAUCGAUCGUCAAAUUUGGGCAUAGGGGCGAAAGACUAAUCGAACUAUCUAGUAGCUGGUUCU
rnacentral:rRNA from 1 species